rnacentral:rRNA from 1 species
AUACGAACGAGACUCUCCCCUGCUAACUAGUCGGUUGGAUCUUUACAUUAUUGGCGAGUUGUACGCCUUUGGUCUAUAGCGCUUGCGUUUUUAGUGCGUUACGUGCUGCCGCCGUGGCUUUUUGCGCAUGCGCGCGCUUUCUCUGCGUGUUGUCUUUUUCCUUACCGGGGGAGAUGCACGUAUGGGGGGGUGUGUUAGCGUGUGUGGGGGUUGCGGUUUUAUGCGUGGUGCGUGGCGUGCGCGCUUGUCGUCAAUGCCUUAGGUCCGUACACUCAAAGUCCGCCGCCUAGGAACCUUACGUGUUUCUAAUUCUUCUUAGAGGGAUCCACGGUACUGAAACCGUCAGAGACUGAGAGCCAUAACAGGUCUGUAAUGCCCUUUGAUGCUCUGGGCCGCACGCGCGCUACACUGCCGGACACAGCAGGUGUUUUCCCUUCUCCGAUAGGAGCGGGUAACCCUUUGAAAGUCCUUGUUCUCUCUCUACACGAGAAUAGCGGCGUGCUUGGGCCUGGGGCUUGCAAUUGUUUCCCACUAACGAGGAAUUCCUAGUAGCGGCGAGUCACUGAGCUCGCCGUGACUUAGUCCCUGCCCUUUGUACACACCGCCCGUCGCUACUACCGAUUGAGUGUAUUAGUGAGAACCUUGGACUGGCGACCGUUGUUUGCUCGCGCUUACGACGGCUACGACGGAAAGAGGUUCGAACUGGUGCACUUAGAGGAAGUAAAA